CCUACGGGAGGCAGCAGUGGGGAAUAUUGCGCAAUGGGCGAAAGCCUGACGCAGCGACGCCGCGUGAGGGAUGAAGGUCUUCGGAGCGUAAACCUCUGUCAGCAGGGAAGAACGGUCACUGUGCUAAUCAGCAGUGAAUUGACGGUACCUGCAAAGGAAGCACCGGCUAACUCCGUGCCAGCAGCCGCGGUAAUACGGAGGGUGCGAGCGUUAAUCGGAAUUACUGGGCGUAAAGCGAUCGUAGGCGGUAUGUGAAGUCAAGGGUGAAAUCUCGGGGCUCAACGUGGGAACUGCCUUUGAUACUGGCAGACUGGAGUGUGUGUGCGGCUAGUGGAAUUAGAGGUGUAGGAGUGAAAUGCGUAGAUA
rnacentral:rRNA from 1 species